rnacentral:tRNA from 1 species
UGCCUUAUGGUGUAAUGGUAGCACACCGGAUUCUGGUUCCGUUUGUGAGAGUUCGAGUCUUUCUAAGGCAA